rnacentral:rRNA from 1 species
UACGGGGGGGGCAAGCGUUGUUCGGAAUUACUGGGCGUAAAGGGCUCGUAGGUGGCCAACUAAGUCAGACGUGAAAUCCCUCGGCUUAACCGAGGAACUGCGUCUGAUACUGGAUGGCUUGAGUUUGGGAGAGGGACGCGGAAUUCCAGGUGUAGCGGUGAAAUGCGUAGAUAUCUGGAGGAACACCGGUGGCGAAGGCGGCGUUCUGGACUGCAACUGACACUGAGAGACGAAAGCCAGGGGAGCAAACGGG